rnacentral:rRNA from 1 species
GCCAAAAAUCUAGCCUAAAAAUUCACCCAUGAUACUAAUCUCCAAUAAAAAUUAAAUAAAACAUUUUAACUCUAUAGUAGAGGUGAUCAAAAAAUUUCUUUAGAGCUUCAAACCAAGUACCACAAGGGAAAGAUGAAAUAAAAAUGAAAUAAUCUCCAAGCAUAAAGUAGUAGAGCUUCCUCCUCGUACCUUUUGCAUCAUGGUCUAGUUAGUCUAAUUAAGCAAAAUGAAUUUUUAGUUUAACCCCCCGAAACUAGGUGAGCUACUUCGAAACAGCCAUAAGAGCAAACCCAUCUCUGUUGCAAAAGAGUGGGAAGAUUUCUAAGUAGAGGCGACAAACCUACCGCACCAAGAGAUAGCUGGUUACUCAAGAAAAGAAUUUUAGUUCUACCUUAAGUUUAUUCCGGUUUAUUUAAACCUUAACAAAACUUAAGAGCUAUUCAAAUAGGGCACAGCUUAUUUGAAAAAGGAUACAACCUACUAUAUUGGGUAAAAAUUUUAGAGAAAUAUUAAGUGGGCCUAAAAGCAGCCAUCUUUUAAAAAGCGUUAAAGCUUUAUAAUUAAUCUUUAAAAAUAACCUAACCAUCUUUUAACCCAUUAUCAAUAUUGAGCAACUCCAUAAGUAUAUGAAAAAUCUAAUGCUAGAACUAGUAAUAAGAAGUAGAACUUCUCCAAAAUGCAAGCCUAAGCCACUUUAGACACCCUAUUGGCAAUUAACGUUUAUGACCCUAUUUUAUUAACACUUCAAGAAAAACCUAAAUACUAUAACGUUAAACUUACACCAGAACAUUUCUGGAAAGAUCAAAAGAGAAAGAAGGAACUCGGCAAAUUUUAACCUCGCCUGUUUACCAAAAACAUCGCCUCUUGCUUAAAUAUAAGAGGUCCAGCCUGCCCAGUGACAAAGUUCAACGGCCGCGGUACCCUAACCGUGCGAAGGUAGCAUAAUCACUUGUUCUUUAAAUGAGGACUUGUAUCAAUGGCAUCACGAGGGUUAAGCUGUCUCCUUUCCCAAAUCAAUGAAACUAAUCUCUCCGUGAAGAAGCGGGGAUAAACUUAUAAGACGAGAAGACCCCAUGGAGCUUUAAACCCAGCUACACCCCCGCUUAAUUAUACUUUUUAAUCUUUAAGGUCCUGUAUUACUGGUUUUAGGUUGGGGUGACCACGGAGCACAAAACAGCCUCCAUAAUGAAUAGACCUUAUCUUUAUCCAUGAGCUACACCUCUAAGAAUUAGAAUUCUAACAUAAAAUGAUCCGAUAUUCGAUCAACGAACCAAGUUACCCUGGGGAUAACAGCGCAAUCCACUUCAAGAGCCCCUAUCGACAAGUGGGUUUACGACCUCGAUGUUGGAUCAGGGUAUCCCAGUGGUGCAGCAACUACUAAAGGUUCGUUUGUUCAACGAUUAAAACCCUACGUGAUCUGAGUUCAGACCGGAGCAAUCCAGGUCGGUUUCUAUCUAUAAAGAGUUACUCCUAGUACGAAAGGACCGAAGUAACAUGGCCUAUGCAUAAACAAGCCAUCCUAUCUACAUCAAUGAACUCAACUCAAUUGUUCAUAAUCUAUAAUUACCCCUAGACAAGGGUUU